rnacentral:lncRNA from 1 species
UGUUGGUGCAGGCUCGUUCGGUUCAUUGUUCAUUGUUCCGCUGGCUGCUCAGGUUUGCCAACGACAUUAGUUUGUUGUUUUCUCCCAGAGGUGGAUUAUUUCUGCGGGGUUGAGCUCCUCCAUGACCCGAUUUCUUACCUUGUUGGUUGUGGCAUAUGGCAGUCGGCAUUUGCUUGAUGAAUGUUUCAGUUCCUCUUGUUUGUUUGCAUUCUGAUCAAGCCAUGGCGCAUAUUGCCUCUGAUUUGGUUAUUUGAGUGUUCUCUUAUACAGAAAAAUUAAUUUGCUUGUUUUUCAUUUCUAUAGGGAUAUGAGGAGAGAGCUCUGUUGUUGGCAGCGGCUGCAUCAUUUCAACAAGUGACAUAGUUGAUCUUUGCUGCAUGGUAUGUACCUAAGGUUGGAGAUGUUGAAUUAGGUAAGAAAAAGAUGACAACCAUUUGCUUGUUUUUUCACUCCUUUAGGGAUAUGAGGAGAGAGCUCUAUUGUUAGUCAGCUACUUCCAUUUUUGGAUGAUUAAUUAUUUGCAUGAGGUUCAGAGAAUGGCCUCUAUUGCCU